rnacentral:misc_RNA from 1 species
GAUGAAGAACGUAGCGAAAUGCGAUACGUAAUGUGAAUUGCAGAAUUCAGUGAAUCAUCGAGUCUUUGAACGCACAUUGCGCCCCCUGGUAUUCCUGGGGGCAUGCCUGUCCGAGCGUCAUUGCUGCCCUCAAGCACGGCUUGUGUGUUGGGCCUCCGUCCUCCUCCCGGGGGACGGGCCCGAAAGGCAGCGGCGGCACCGCGUCCGGUCCUCGAGCGUAUGGGGCUUCGUCACCCGCUCUUGUAGGCCCGGCCGGCGCUUGCCGACACAUCAAUCUUUUUUCCAGGUUGACCUCGGAUCAGGUAGGGAUACCCGCUGAACUUAAGCAUAUCAAUAAGCGGAGGA